rnacentral:rRNA from 1 species
UACGAAGGGUGCAAACGUUGCUCGGAAUUAUUGGGCGUAAAGCGCACGUAGGCGGCUUUGCAAGUCGGAUGUGAAAUCCCUCGGCUUAACCAAGGAAGUGCAUCCGAAACUGCAGAGCUUGAGUACUUAAGAGGAUCGCGGAAUUCCCGGUGUAGAGGUGAAAUUCGUAGAUAUCGGGAGGAACACCAGUGGCGAAGGCGGCACUCUGGGCCGGAACUGACGCUGAGGAGCGAAAGCGUGGGGAGCGAACAGG